rnacentral:rRNA from 1 species
GACGAACGCUGGCGGCGUGCCUAAUACAUGCAAGUCGAGCGGAACUGGGGGAGCUUGCUCCUUCCAGUUUAGCGGCGGACGGGUGAGUAACACGUGGGCAACCUGCCCUGCAGAUCGGGAUAACUCCGGGAAACCGGUGCUAAUACCGAAUAGUUUGGCGCCUCUCCUGAGGCGCUACGGAAAGACGGUUUCGGCUGUCACUUCAGGACGGGCCCGCGGCGCAUUAGCUAGUUGGUGGGGUAACGGCCCACCAAGGCGACGAUGCGUAGCCGACCUGAGAGGGUGACCGGCCACACUGGGACUGAGACACGGCCCAGACUCCUACGGGAGGCAGCAGUAGGGAAUCUUCCGCAAUGGACGCAAGUCUGACGGAGCAACGCCGCGUGAGUGACGAAGGUUUUCGGAUCGUAAAACUCUGUUGUGAGGGAAGAACACGUACCAACUAACUAUUGGUACCUUGACGGUACCUCGCCAGAAAGCCACGGCUAACUACGUGCCAGCAGCCGCAGUAA